CAGCCGCCGCGGGAAUACGAAGGGUGCAAGCGUUAAUCGGAAUUACUGGGCGUAAAGCGUGCGCAGGCGGUUGUGUAAGACAGGUGUGAAAUCCCCGGGCUUAACCUGGGAACUGCGCUUGUGACUGCACAGCUAGAGUAUGGCAGAGGGGGGUGGAAUUCCACGUGUAGCAGUGAAAUGCGUAGAGACGUGGAGGAACACCGAUGGCGAAGGCAGCCCCCUGGGCCAAUACUGACGCUCAUGCACGAAAGCGUGGGGAGCAAACAGGAUUAGAUACCCGGGUAGUCCCUGUCUCUUAUAA
rnacentral:rRNA from 1 species